UGCCAAAAUAAUCUCUCUAAAUUUGUUUUUAACCAAACGAGGAGCAAUUCAUUCAAAAUGUCUGCGUCCUCCGGGAAAGUCCCAGGUCAGGGAAUGGCACAUUGUCACGUCUGUGAGAAGACGUUCAAAACUCUAAAACGGUGCAAAAGUUGUAAAUCGACAUUUUAUUGUUCCAGAGAAUGUCAGAUUCGUGACUGGCCUACUCAUAAACUCCAUUGCUUGCCAAGAGACAGGAGCACCAAGAGAGCAGUUGAUCUCCACUCAAAAGCUGACAAUGACAGUAUCAAAAUUGAAAUGGUGAACUUCCAGACCCUGACACUUGAUGGGGAAACA